UCCGCCCGCCUCGGCCUCCCAAACUGCUGGGAUAACAGGCAUGAGCCACCGCGCCUGCCCAGUCAAAAGAUAUUUUCAAUAGCACAGUAAACUCUACGCUAGGACACAAAAUUGUUACAAAUCAAAUCACGUUGCUUUUUUUUUUUGCUCUGUCACCCAGACUGUCUCAAAAAAAGAAGAACCUAAGAAAAUAUACCUCUUCUUCAAAUGUAGAGAAAUCUAAAAUGUUUCAUCUACCUCCCAAUAUUUAAAAUAAGGAAAGAGAACAUAGAAGUUCUUCCAUAAAUACAAUUAAAGCCAAUAUAACACCGGGCGCAGUGGCUCACACCUGGUAAUCCCAACACUUCGGGAGGCUGAGGUGGGAGUAUCGCUUUAGGCCAGGA